AGCGAACGCUGGCGGCAGGCCUAACACAUGCAAGUCGAACGAACUCUUCGGAGUUAGUGGCGGACGGGUGAGUAACACGUGGGAACGUGCCUUUUGGUUCGGAAUAACUCAGGGAAACUUGUGCUAAUACCGAAUGUGCCCUUCGGGGGAAAGAUUUAUCGCCAUUAGAGCGGCCCACGUCUGAUUAGCUAGUUGGUGAGGUAACGGCUCACCAAGGCGACGAUAAGUAGCUGGUCUGAGAGGAUGACCAGCCACACUGGGACUGAGACACGGCCCAGACUCCUACGGGAUGCAGCAGUGGGGAAUCUUGCGCAAUGGGCGAAAGCCUGACGCAGCCAUGCCGCGUGAAUGAUGAAGGUCUUAGGAUUGUAAAAUUCUUUCACCGGGGACGAUAAUGACGGUACCCGGAGAAGAAGCCCCGGCUAACUUCGUG
rnacentral:rRNA from 1 species